UACGAAGGGGCUAGCGUUGCUCGGAAUCACUGGGCGUAAAGGGUGCGUAGGCGGGUCUUUAAGUCAGGGGUGAAAUCCUGGAGCUCAACUCCAGAACUGCCUUUGAUACUGAAGAUCUUGAGUUCGGGAGAGGUGAGUGGAACUGCGAGUGUAGAGGUGAAAUUCGUAGAUAUUCGCAAGAACACCAGUGGCGAAGGCGGCUCACUGGCCCGAUACUGACGCUGAGGCGCGACAGCGUGGGGAGCAAACAGG
rnacentral:rRNA from 1 species